UUUGGUGGCGAUGGCGGAGGGGUUCCACGCGUACCCAUCCCGAACACGACCGUUAAGCCCUCCAGCGCCGAUGGUACUUGGACCGAAGGGUCCUGGGAGAGUAGGAAGCUGCCAAGC
rnacentral:rRNA from 5 species